UACGGAGGGGGCUAGCGUUGUUCCGAAUUACUGGGCGUAAAGCGCACGUAGGCGGCUUUGCAAGUCAGAGGUGAAAGCCCGGGGCUCAACCCCGGAAUUGCCUUUGAGACUGCAUCGCUAGAAUUGUGGAGAGGUAAGUGGAAUUCCGAGUGUAGAGGUGAAAUUCGUAGAUAUUCGGAAGAACACCAGUGGCGAAGGCGACUUACUGGACACAUAUUGACGCUGAGGUGCGAAAGCGUGGGGAGCAAACAGG
rnacentral:rRNA from 1 species